rnacentral:tRNA from 1 species
GCCUGAGUGGCUCAGUCGGUUGAGUGUCUGACUUCGGCUCAGGUCAUGAUCUCACGGUUCGUGGGUUUGAGCCCCGCGUCGGGCU